CCAGCCCAAGCAGGCAGCAGAACUUGCAGCAGGAGCCACCUGAUUUUGGCCUAAGAGUCAUGAAGGCUAUGAGAAUAUAAACAUUUUGGAAUCUUCCUCUAAGAUUAAGGAAAGCCUCCCUGGCAAUUCUGAGGUCAGAGCGGACAGACAGACUGCAAUCCUACCAACAGUGACGGAAGGUUCCCCUUUCUCCACAUUCCCUCCAGCAUGUACUGUCUUUUUCCGUUGCUGAUCUUUGCCUUUGUGACUGGAACAAGAUGAAAUCUCAGAGGUCUUGUGUGAUGACCACAGUUGCUGUGAGUUCAUGAGUGGAGCAGUCCUGUCCAAAUGCAAUCCCACUUACGGCUAGGCAGUAUACAGACACUUACCCUCUGUACUCUGACAAGAACCUUCCAGCCAGCAAGGUAGAAGCUUCCAGAUGCUACCCCCCUUGGGACAGCAAUCUUCAAAGAUGUACACCACCGCCACCUUGGCUAUCUUAUGUUCUGGAUCAUCACCACUGGUGAAGUUUUAUCAUGGCCCAUGAAGUCAAGCCAUCUCUGAGGACUGACUGCCCACCCCCAUCUAUGCUGGUGAGCAGGAAGCAAUUAAGAGCAGUUAGCAACCCUAACUCCCUGAGAGCAGUCAGGGUGACCUCUGAGAGGGAGUAAUGAGAGGCUAGGGGUUGGUCGACAGACAGGUAGGGUGAGGGGCCAUGACUAGGAAUAAUGGAGGGGAAUUUCCAAGAUAGCAAAGAUAGUGAGCUUCUUCCUCAUCCUCCUGACUUGCGACAAAAGCCUGGCCGCUAAAACAAAGUGCUAGUGGGCUUCUGUUUCCCACCAGCAGGCCCUGUGCUGAUGGACUGACUCAACAAGUUCUGUUUGCAUCUGGAUCGGGACGUGUUACACAACACUUGUGAGCCAAUCUACCUUCCCAUCUUUCUUCAAACUGACCAACCCUAAAUUAGGGAAGGAAAACUCUUCAGAGACUUAAAUAAAAAAAAAAAAAAAAAAAAAACAGGCCUCAAGAAAAGACCGGAUUCUUCAGCUUCCCAAAUCCUCCCUCCGUUUUGCAGAGGGUAAUUUUGUGUGUGUGUCUGCAGCAUGCCUGUGC